AAGAUAAUAUAAUUGUAUUUUGAUUUUUAUAUUUAGGAUUUCACCUAUGGUAUACCGUCUCGUAUUACUAUCGACCCAAACCCAUCAUAUCAUCUAAUCCCGUUCAGUGAAAUUAAACAUAUCUAAUGGAUUUCACCCGUGGUAUAGCGUCUAGUAUUUUAUCGAUCGAAAUCCGUCUUACCAUCUAACUCCGUUCAAUGAAAUUAAACAUUAUUUUGUUAUUUUUGUUUUAAAAAUACUUUAAUUGAAAAGAUAUAUAAUUUAAAUCAAUUUAAAGUUUUUAUUUCAAAUGGUUAUUUAAUUGUUUAAAAGUUCAUAUAUUAUAAAUAUUAUAAACCCGUCCUACCAUCUAAUCCCGUUCGGUGAAAUUAAAAAUU
rnacentral:sRNA from 1 species